rnacentral:tRNA from 1 species
GGUCUCGUGGUGCAGUGGCUAACACGUCUGCCUGUCACGCAGAAGAUCGCGGGUUCAAUCCCCGUCGAGACCG